CAGUCGCCGCGGUAAUACGUAGGGUGCGAGCGUUAAUCGGAAUUACUGGGCGUAAAGCGUGCGCAGGCGGUUCGUUAAGACAGAUGUGAAAUCCCCGGGCUUAACCUGGGAACUGCAUUUGUGACUGGCGAGCUAGAGUAUGGCAGAGGGGGGUAGAAUUCCACGUGUAGCAGUGAAAUGCGUAGAGAUGUGGAGGAAUACCGAUGGCGAAGGCAGCCCCCUGGGCCAAUACUGACGCUCAUGCACGAAAGCGUGGGGAGCAAACAGGAUUAGAGACCCCUGUAGUCCCUGUCUCCUUAUC
rnacentral:rRNA from 1 species